UAGGGAAUCUUCCGCAAUGGACGCAAGUCUGACGGAGCAACGCCGCGUGAGUGAAGAAGGAUUUCGGUUCGUAAAACUCUGUUGUUAGAGAAGAACAGCGCAUAGAGUAACUGUUAUGCGUGUGACGGUAUCUAACCAGAAAGACACGGCUAACUACGUGCCAGCAGCCGCGGUAAUACGUAGGUGGCAAGCGUUGUCCGGAUUUAUUGGGCGUAAAGCGAGCGCAGGCGGUCAAUUAAGUCUGAUGUGAAAGCCCCCGGCUCAACCGGGGAGGGUCAUUGGAAACUGGUUGACUUGAGUGCAGAAGAGGAGAGUGGAAUUCCAUGUGUAGCGGUGAAAUGCGUAGAUAUAUGGAGGAACACCAGUGGCGAAGGCGACUCUCUGGUCUGUAACUGACGCUGAGGCUCGAAAGCGUGGGUAGCAAACAGG
rnacentral:rRNA from 1 species